AGCGUCUGUAGGCGGUUUGGAAAGUCUUUUGUGAAAUUCUUCGGCUCAACCGGGGGUCCGCAAAAGAAACUUCCAUGCUUGAGGGAAGUAGAGGUACAGGGAAUUUCCGGUGGAGCGGUGAAAUGCGUAGAUAUCGGAAGGAACACCAAUAUGGCGAAGGCACUGUACUGGGCUUUACCUGACGCUAAGAGACGAAAGCUAAAGGAGUGAUUAGGAUUAGAUACCCCUGU
rnacentral:rRNA from 1 species